AGGAUUGAACUAACGGACAACUUCAGGAUGAAGAUUUUACCUAUCAGGAUGGUAGGGCGUCAGGAAGACAACAAGGAUUGAAACCAUCAGGAAGAUGGUCGGACAGUUUAAGGAUAAAACUAGCGGACACCUCCAGGAUGGAGAACGAAUACCUACCGGAGUGUAGGGGGUCAGGAAGACUAACAGGGACAGGCAUCAGGAUGAUGCAGGAUGACUCGUCAGGAAGAAAGUAGGACGCUGCUAAGGAUAGUGUGGUUAGGAUAACCAACAUGGAUAAAGUUUUCAGGGAUUGAGCAGGGAAGCAACAAGAGUAGCUGGAUUGCUAUAAAACGGACUGGGCCCACUGUAUAUGCAGUGGGCCUUUUUCUUUGU
rfam:Pragia fontium strain 24613, complete genome.